rnacentral:lncRNA from 1 species
CAGGGGAUUGCAGUGGCAAAGCUAGGCUAGGUCUUGGAGGCUGGUGUAAGGCGAUGUGGGUGAAGGCAGGAGGCUGAUGGAAAGACUGGGGGGAAGAAAAGCCGAAAUGGAUUCACGGUGCCUUGGAUGAAGGACGAGAGGGGAACUGCAAGCUCCUUCAACUGGUUCUGUCCGGUGAGAAGUGAUCAAGCUUGGGCUGACAAGAGGCUCAGGGAGCCCUCACGUUCUUUCGCUUUUUUACCUGCCAAUCAAACUGCUACAAGACAACACCCUGAUCUGGCAUGGACAUACUGAGUCUCACUCUGUCGCCCAGGUUGGAGUGCAGUGGCGCGAUCUUGGCUCACUGCAACCGCCACUUCCCAGGUUCAAGUGGUUCUCCUGCCUCAGCCUCCUGAGUACCUGAAAUUACAGGCGCCCGCCACCACGCCAGUCUCAAUACCUUCACAGAGGUGAAGAAGCAGCAACCAAAUGAAUUAGACAGCAACAUGAUUCCUAGAGAAUGGCAAGACCAAUUCUUCAACUACUUCUUCAGCAUUUCUGAAACAUAUGGAAGAUGGCCCAUUGUGCUCUCUUAAUUCUUUGAUAAUCUGGACAUUGACUUUUCCAUUAUAUGACCUGGGCUUGUGGGCAUCAUGUCAUAAUGCACCUGUUCAGACAUCUCCCUGUACCAAUAUGGAUCACUUGAAGAGACUCCUUUGCCCCCAUCAAAAAGGAUACAGUUGUGUAUCUCUUCCAUUUUUGUUUACAGUGCCUAAAAUUAUUUGAGCAGUUUUUCACCUCUUCUCUGAUAAACACCUUAUUAGUCCUUAAAAAGAAAAGAAAAAAGGAAAAUAAAACUUUUAUUGAGAUCCUA